UGUUACAAUGGGGGGUACAGAGGGCCGCUACCACGCGAGUGGAUGCCAAUCCCUAAAACCCCUCUCAGUUCGGACUGGAGUCUGCAACCCGACUCCACGAAGCUGGGUUCGCUAGUAAUCGCGCAUCAGCCACGGCGCGGUGAAUACGUUCCCGGGUCUUGUACACACCGCCCGUCACACCAUGGGAGUCGGAAAUGCCCGAAGCCGGUGACCCAACCCGAAAGGGAGGGAGCCGUCGAAGGCAGGUCGGAUGACUGGGGUGAAGUCGUAACAAGGUACC
rnacentral:rRNA from 1 species